GAAAGGAGGAAUCCGGUGGCGGCUGGGCAUGCGGCGCAUUAGCUUGACGGCGGGGUAACGGCCCACCGUGGCGACGAUGCGUAGGGGUUCUGAGAGGAAGGCCCCCCACACUGGAACUGAGACACGGUCCAGACUCCUACGGGAGGCAGCAGUGAGGAAUAUUGGUCAAUGGGCGGAAGCCUGAACCAGCCAAGUCGCGUGAGGGAAUAAGGCCCUACGGGUCGUAAACCUCUUUUGCCGGGGAGCAAGGGCCGGGACGAGUCCCGGUCCGGAGAGUACCCGGAGAAAAAGCAUCGGCUAACUCCGUGCCAGCAGCCGCGGUAAUACGGAGGAUGCGAGCGUUAUCCGGAUUUAUUGGGUUUAAAGGGUGCGUAGGCGGGCUUUUAAGUCAGCGGUAAAAAUUCGGGGCUCAACCCCGUCCGGCCGUUGAAACUGGGGGCCUUGAGUGGGCGAGAAGAAGGCGGAAUGCGUGGUGUAGCGGUGAAAUGCAUAGAUAUCACGCAGAACCCCGAUUGCGAAGGCAGCCUUCCGGCGCCCUACUGACGCUGAGGCACGAAAGUGCGGGGAUCGAACAGGAUUAGAUACCCUGGUAGUCCGCACAGUAAACGAUGGAUGCCAGCUGUCCGGGCCGAAUGGGGCCUGG
rnacentral:rRNA from 1 species